UGGCUGAGCCUCUCUAGUUUUUGCAAUUCCCACUGCACACGCUGUUUCGUGUUGGAUUAUUGGAUUAUACCGCCAAUAACGGCACACGCACAGCAACAACAACAGCAAUAAAUAUAACAAAAAGCGAUAAGGGAAAACAGACGACGCUGGGAUUAAUCAUUAAUGUCCUGAGAGACAAAGAACAGGACUUCAGAAGAGCAACAAGGAGCGCAGAGGAAGAGGACGCAGCAGAUGGACAGAAGAAGACGAGAAAAGAUACAACUCUGUUUCACUUAUCCAGCUGGAACCAAACCCUUCGUCCUGUCAUGCGCCCCUUUCUGCUAAUUGCUUAGUGUGCCAAGCUCCUGGCUCCUCCUUGCCAUCACUAAGCAGUCCAGAUCCUUCCACACUCAAAGCUCAAGAUACUUACCCGGCGACGAAGAUACGUACCUGGAGAUCUGCAGCUGUGCAGCCUGCAUUAUUUUCCUGAAGGAAUGGUAGGAGGAAUGGAAGGAGGAAUGGAAGGAGGAAUGGAAGGAGGAAAACCCAACGCCAACGCGUCUCGUCGACUGUCAUGUGCGAGUUUUGUGGCCCCUAACUAAGGCGCCUUGCAUAAAUUUACGCCAGAGGAUAAGCCAAAAAAGAAAGCAGGAAAAGAGCGAUGAGAAGAAUACUGGCAAGGCAAACAUAAAGCAAUUUGAUGCGUUUUUAAAAUGCGGCAAUUGACUGAAACAACAAAAGCGAACUGAGACGAGUGGAAAAUUCAGGCAAGCCGCAUGUGAGCACGUUUUCCGCUUUUCCGAAGGGUAAAUCAAAUACGAGGCACAGACCGCUUCGAAAGGAACAAGUACCAAGUACCAAGUACCCAAUACCCUCUGCCAUAUCUCGGUCGCUGAUAAGCAAUAUAACGCAAAUGCUUGAUGGUUUGUUGACGACCAACAAAAUUUCUUGAGCGUGUGUGUAAACAUUGGCCCACCAGUCCUGGCAAUGCUGAAAAAUAGUAAGCAGCAAGCAGCAGGCAGCGGAGAGCAUCUGAAAACGGCAGCAAGGACAUCGAAGGAGCCAGCGUUUAUAAAUGCGCUACAGUUACAAAUUGUAGCCACAGCUGUGCGUGUGUGUUCUGGUGCUGUGCGGCACAUGUGCGCUCUAAACCAUUUAUAAAUGUAACAAAAGCAACGCACACACGGCAACGCCAGCAGAAAAGAAAACGGGGAAAAAGUCUGGGAAAACAGUGAAAAGCCGAAAGCUCUUGGCACAAGUGCAAUGCAUAAAUAUAAACAAAGGGAUACGAACUGAAGACAGCGAAAAUACAAGAGCAUCGUCCACAAUUAACGCCAUCGUAGCCAGGGAGCCAAGGAACAACCAAUGGAACAUGUUGAUGCCGGUGCGGGAGUACAACAAGCACAUAGCCAAAAUACCAAACUGCAAGAUGAGGCAGCGGCCCACGCUUAGAGCCACCUUCGCACCCCUGCUUUUGCUCCUCCACAUCGCGCAGACGCUCGAUCCGGCGGCUGCCAGUGGUUCAGUCGGAAGUGGUGCCGCAGCGGCAGGAGCUGCAGGUCCUUCCGCGCCCGGUGGUGCGGGGGGCGGGAGUCUGAGCAGUGGACCCCCCACUCUCAUUGCCAAUCUCACGGAACAAGGCAGUCCCGGUGUGUAUAAUUCGACAAUGGGUUAAUGCUAAUUACCCGUAUACAUAAACAUGGCAUUAACGUGGCAGUUUGCUGACCUUUUUAACUUUUGGCCCUAACCGUAAGCGACGUCACCAUUUCGGUAUUUGCAACGGAUUUAUGCGGAGUCGUUUCUAUAAAAUUUUUUUACCAGAUCAUCCAAAUAAAUUAAAUGACAUUGUUCUCCUAGAAUAUGAUUUUAAACAAAUAUUAUUCUCUUUUAAGGCAAGCGAGACGCGAAAUGAGAAUUUACGCUUUUCGCCAAGUAAAGAGUUCAUGAUAAUCUAAGCAUAAACUUAGAAUGUAUGUCCGUGCCGAUGCUUGUGGUUAUUUCCUUGUGCGCCUUUCCGGUUUCUGCUUCCGGUUGCCACGCGACGGGGGUGGCAAAAACUAUUAGCCACUUGGCGCUAAACAACACCACCUGCGCCCACUAGUCCCCGCUACUGAAGCAAAACUCUAAGCAUCAAUUAACCCAAUUUUCAGAAUCCAUUUUCACCUGCAGUUACGCUUACAGCUUACAGCUCAUAGCUCAGGAGCUUUGGCUUUUUCACAGUAUUUUCUAGCUGCGUGUUUCACAGCUCCAUACUUACAUACAUAUAUGUAUGUAUAUGCCCUGCUAUGUUUUUUAGAAAGAGAGUUUCUCCUUUGUUCUUUUUUCCUCCAGCAAAUACCCAAGUGGCGGUGAUGAAACCAACGUCCAAGUCCCAAGUCCCAAACCCACCCAAUCCUAUAGGUGUAAUGCCGGGCACUGUUGCCCAGACUUUUUCGUGUUCCGUGCCGUUUCUUGCUUUCUUUCCCAGGCGUUGGCGCUAUUGUUGUAGUUUGGUUUGGAUUGGUCACUGGAUCUGGAAUGGAAAUGGAAAUGGAGUGGAAGCUGAAAUCAUAAUUAAUCCAUUGAUUUUGAAUUUUUUUCAGCUUAAAUAAUUCACACAAAUCAUUUCGGCAAUAAAUACGAAUUCUUUCGCAGCAUUUAACAAUGAAUAUUUCAGCAAACAACAUUUUUUUCAGCCAAGGCUUUCCUUAUUUGUUUUAAAUAACCUGGGAUCCAAUUACAAAUUGAUGAGCAGGUAAUGAACGUAGCAAAAAGUAAAUAGAAUCAUUUUAAUUUGGAAGCGCCACUGUUGCAAACUUUGAUUUGCAUGUAAAGUCAUAAAUAAUUCAUUUUAACACAUUCAACAUUUAUGAAUAUUUUUUCUGUACUCUUUUGUAUUCUAGCUGUCGCUAUUAAUCAAAUUAUACAUACGUAUACUACAUUCUUUUUUAAAUUGUUUAUUUAUGUCGCUACGUUUAUGCAGCCGCCUGGAAAUUUUGUGUGACAGAGUGUCAUAAACUGCAGAAUGUGGAUGGUCAUCUUACCUGGCGGUUGAUUGAUUCUCCCAGCCAAAAAAUAAACACCUGGAACGAUGCCAUACACCUGGAAGUGAGCUGUACUGGGGAUAUAUUUUGAAAUUCUCGAAGUCACGAAGUUCACGACUCCGAAUCGAAAUUAUGAAUAAAAACGUCCACCUUUAAAACUCAGCAAUAAAGCAGAAAGUUCAAAUUCUUUUAAGUAAUUCUUAUAAACAUCGAAUUAAUACUUAAUGAAAAAAGUUGGCAUAAUAUUGGUACAGAAUUUUCCAAAUUAUGUGUUUUUAACGCCUGCAUAAAUUGUAAAAGUGACUAUUGUAAAAGUUUGUAGCUAAU